GACGAACGCUGGCGGCGUGCUUAACACAUGCAAGUCGAACGGGCCCGCUCUCUUUUUUGGGGGUGGGUUGAGUGGCGAACGGGUGAGUAUCACGUGAGUAACCUGCCCCCUGCUCCUGGAUAACUGCUUGAAAGGGCGGCUAAUACGGGGUGUGCCGGCUGGUCCGCAUGGGCCUGGUCGGGAUAGUUUCAUCUUCGGGUGUUUCGGUGGGGGAUGGGCUCGCGGCCUAUCAGCUUGUUGGUGGGGUGAUGGCCCACCAAGGCGGUGACGGGUAGCCGGCCUGAGAGGGUGGGCGGCCACACUGGGACUGAGACACGGACCAGACUCCAGCGGGAGGCAGCAGUGGGGGGUAUUGCACAAUGGGCGGAAGCCUGAUGCAGCGACGUCGCGUGAGGGAUGGAGGCCUUCGGGUUGUGAACCUCUUUCUCCGGUGGUGAAGGCCCUGUCCGUUGCGGCGGGGUUGACGGUAGCCGGGUAUGAAGCGCCGGCUAACUACGUG
rnacentral:rRNA from 1 species